GAAUCAUUCUUUUCUUUUGUGUCUGUAUCUCGAAUUUCCCUAUCACCACAAUAGCUUCUUAUGGUGGGAUUCUUCUUCUGCUGCUGCUUAUUCUUCCAGCCUACUCCUUGACUUUGUACUUGGUUAGUGCUGAGCAUUGGACAUUUUUGGGAGGGGUUAUCUGGUCUAAGUUUCUUACAUCUUGCUGUUUUCACAGAUCAGUCUGGGAGCCUGAAGGCUUUCAGUGCUCUCAAAGUGAUGUGAUCUGGGGUAAGGUCUGUUCACUGCUUGCCUGUCCUGUGCUUUAGAAGUUCUGACCCAGGUUUGGGUCUAUUAGUUUGCCCCAGGUUGAGAGUUUCAGUAAAUUGGUGUUGCACUCAGUUGUUUGUCCUUUGUUCUCGAAGAGGGCCAUGACAUCAAGGAGAUGAUGCCAUGACCUGUAAAUGAACUGAUUUGUGUGGGAGUGCAAAGUCACCAGCCUCAUUUUCUCCUCUACAGCCAUCUGGAUCCAGUGGCCAGAUAUGGAUCAGGACAACUGGAGAUAACCCAGGAUGCAGUGGCGGAUCUUGGCUUUUUCAUGCUAAAGUCUUUAACAGGUCUCUUUGGCUAAGGCAACACCCAUUCAGCUAAAUAAGAAAGGAGGCAGAGAACGGCCUCUUUACCUAAUCUGGCUUGGAAUCUCUGCAGGUUCAAAGCAACUGCCAGCUCCCCUUUGGUCUGUUAACUUCUGCCCUGGGUUUUCCAAUGCUGGCUUCUAUGACGGACUAAAGGUUACAGCUGGGUCACUGACCUGCUCCUGGGAUCAUAGUCACACAGUUAUUAUUCGCUUCUGAACUUGUUCCUUGUUCAGUACCCAGCUACGGCCCUGUACACUGCAACUGCCCUUCUGUACAUGGAUGCAUGCUUCAUGGCUUGUCCAGUUUCUCCACUAACAGAGCAGUUCUUGAGGAGCAGGAGUCCCUGUUUGCUGGGUCUACAGCCCUUGUGUUUACAUCCUGAAUCAUAAUGCCAUGCUUCUCAGAAUCAUCACGGAGUAGAAGAGCCCUUCAGUCCAAAUCACCUAAAAAAGGAAGACCCACUAGAACAUCAUCUGACAAGUGGUCAUCCUGCCUGCUUAAAGACCUUCAAGAAAGAGGAAUUCAACACCUCUUGAAGGAAUCCAUGACACCUUCGGACAAUUUUUUUCUCCUGACACCAAACUUUAAAUUUGCCUCAUUUUAACUUCUACCCAUUUGCUCCUGGUUCUGCUCACUGAGGCUAAUCAGAACCAGUAGAAUCCUUCCUUCCAACAAUCCUGGUUGCCCUCCUCUCCCAUUUAUGUGUCCUUAAACACUGGUACCUGAUGGCACAAUGGAAAGAAUGCUGGGCCUGGAAUCAGGAACACCUGAAUAAAAAAUCCUGCCUCAGACACUUA